UCACACUUAAUUUGGUAGUUUGGUUUCGUUUGCAUCAUGCCUAGCUUCCAAUUCUAACACCCAAAUGCAAUUUUCAGUUCUUACCUCUCUGUUUCCCUCUACACUCCCGAAUCCUCCUCACUCAUCUGGAAGUAACACAGUGGUUUGCUGAUUUUCAUUCCCAAAAUGAGCAAAGCAGGUGUCAGAUUGAGGAUCAGAUUCAAGUGCAUCUUAUUGUUGAAAUCAUUUCCUGUUUGCUGAUCCUGGCUGAUGAAGAAGUUGGAGGAGAUUGAUAUUCAACCUUUGAAGGUUGUUGAAACAGAAUCUACAGUCCAAGCACCCUCCAAGAGAAUUGAAGGUUCCCAAGUCACUGUUAAUUGAAACCUCCACAACCGAGUCCGAGGAUCAAACAACUGCAACACAAUAUAUACAGCAAGAAGGUAACAAGAAAUUCCAACUAGACCUCCAUCAUGAGUAUGGAAUAUUUUACUGAAAUAGUUUUAUGCAUUCAAAUGGGGGAUAUUAGAGGAGUGUUAGCAAUACACUUUCUAACACCUCUACGAUGGUUAAUUAAUGAAAACUACAAAAUUAUGAUUGAAGCCAGAUCGAUGAGCAAAGUUUUGUGAUUUUUAGUAAAUUUUAAUCCAUAAUAAAGAGUAUAUUCAAAAGAGUCUGUUAGUGACAGACAUUUCUCAAUGGGGAAAUAUAAAUAUAAGUCACGUACAAAUGAAAUGCAUGAGAUUAAGUUUGCUUCAGAUAUAUAGGAACAAAAAAUUGAAAAAUGAUUGCCAUUUAUUUAUUGAGGCAAUGCUAGAUUUUUUCUGAAGCUCUUUGGGGAUCAUAAUUCAUAAGUAAACCAUGUUGUCAUUCCAACCAGAAAGAAAAGAUGAAGGAGAUGGUUGCUGUUUGCUUUGAUAAUUGAAUGAACAAUUAAGCAAGAGAGGCAUUGAGUAAGAUAGCAAUCAUGGAAGAACUACUCUUUAGGUUUGUGUGAAAGCAGAAAGAUUUAGAUACAACAUGAGUGUUGUUCAGCUUUUAUUUAAUGUUUCAUCCAGGAUUUACAAUGACAACCAGCAAGGGAACAGUAUUAAAAUUUUCAUGAAUAAAAACAUAAGAAAAGGCUUAUUAUCUCUUAUAUGUAAAUUACCUUGCAAAAUGUAAGUCUUACUACUGAUUGUUGGACUGGACGUGGAUGCAAAAUCUGAAUUUAAUUAUAUAUGUGUAUCAUUUUCCCCUUCAUAGAUAAAGAAAUACACAGUCCACAAGAGGAUUAAGAUGAAUUUGUUAAAUACGUACUUGAGUAUUGACAAAAGGAGGGGGUGACUAUUAAGUUAAUUUGACUAUAGAAAUAUAAUGAGAUUAAAAAUUUGACUUAUUGUACAAAGAUGAAAAGCAAAUCACUUGUGUCUCGGGGUGCUCGAAUAAGGUGGAAUUCCACCUUGAUGUUAGAGUCUGCUUUUAAAUUACAAACAACAUUUUAGAGACUUGAAGAUACUAAUGGGAACUAUUUGUUUGAGUUUUAGGUGUAAGAGGAUCUUCCAGAGAGCUAGUUAUUGAUGAUUGAUGACAUUAAAUCCCUGGAUAUAGCAAAAUGAAACGAAAGCAUGAGAACUAUUAAUUGGGGAAACUUAAUUAGUUACUGAAUGCUAUUUGUUUAUACCAAGUUUCUGUGGGACCAAAGAUAUAAAAUAAACUUUGUUGGGUUUCUUUAAUUUGCUAACUGAAUGGUUUUGAAACUGCAAAAGCAUUGGCUUCCAAUUAAUGUGAAAGAAACAUUAACCUCGUUGUUUGAGCAUUAUUUCUUUUAUUGUGAGGUAGUAGCUCAAGAACUGAACACUUCUGAGUUUCAGUUCCUCAUGCUAAGGAUUAUGGAGCCUUCAAGGAAGACAUUUAUAUAUAUAUGUGUGUGUGUGUGUGUGUGGAUUUUGCUGAAUUAAUGAGUAAGGAAUAUCUCUUUGAGAACAAAAACGAAAACGAAACCAAGAGAGGAAUCAUCUGUAAAUUGGAAUUCAUUAAUUGGUCGAAGAUAAACUCUUCAAAAUAUUUUGUACU